AGGGGUUCGAAGUUCGGCACACGUAUAUGGUUGACGCUCCCACAUCGCUGCGAAGCACAUCGAUGAGAAGUACAUUGGCUAUAGGCCGAUAUUUCAUUGAAAUCUUCAAAAUAUGAAAAAUCUGACUACCUAAGUUACGGCAUAGACUGUUCGUUCCUGUAUUUUGCUGGACAUUAGAAUUACCAAAGUUACAGCAUAGCUUGUUCGUUCCUGUAUUUUGCUUGAAGUUAGAAUAUGAGCCUCUAAUGGAAGCAGAUGAUGAUGAUGAUGAUGAUGAUGACAAUAGCAAUAAGAACAUCAAAACCUUCAAGCAGACAAGGCAAGUUAAGGGAGCAAGGAAGAGAUGUCAAAAGGGAGGAGAAUGUUUAUCUGAUAUCUUAGAAAAGCAAGAAGGAAAGAAUAAAGGGUACCAACAAGAACCCAAACACCAACAAUGUGAUAACUCCUCUUGGGGAUUACUGCCUGACUUGCGGUUAUUAGACCGCUUUUCAUCUAAAGAUUUGGGACCAUGUAGGAGUGUGCAUAGUGUACAAAGCCAUUCAUUUAUGCAGUUUCACUCCAUUGGUUUGUAUUGAUGAAAUUUAUAUCCAAUCCCAAUCGGUGCCAUACAAGCCUGGUGUCUGUAAAUGCUCCUGUGAGUAAUGUGCUGACCAGGUUUAUCCCUGAAAUUGUUAGUGAACGGAGCAGCUGGAGGAUCCCAGCCCUUGGUGAUAAAUGCUGGGUAUUGUGGUGAAUAAUAAUCUUUAAUAUCAUCAAAACACUUGUCUACAAACAGGAAAAACAAUUUAGAAAUUUGUUUUAUUGACAAGAUUUGAUGAUGAUAACUUAUGAAAUUUAGAUAAUUGAAAAUGUGUCACAGAUAUGUAAUCCCCUCUCACCCAUAUUUAGUGUUUGUCGUCCAGUUAAUCAUUUGUCGUCCAGUUUAUCAUUACUCUAAACAAAAGACUUUAAUGAAGAACACACCUUCAAGACAAGGAUUGACUAACUCCUCACUACUUGCGCACUUAUUUCAAAGAAAAACGUUUAUCAACCAUAAUCUGUCAGUCUCAUUGGCUACCAGACAAAUCGCCUGCCCACAAAUGCUACAGGUCCUUGAAAUUGUCAAAGAAAAGACCACUUAGAGGACAUUGGCUCGUCUAAAAUGUAACUGGACUCUGUGAUGGGUCACUUUCUAUAAAUUUGUUUAUUAUCAUCUGAACAAUUUCAGCUUUCUUAUCAUUGCAGAAUUUUUGUUUAUUUUGAUUUUCAACAGUUUUUUUAAAUUAUAGUUCACAAUCUGCUUCAUAUGUAAACCCCAACUGAGAUGUGCAAUACAAAAAGAAAUCAAAAGUAAAUCAAUGAUUCAAGACUUAUAAAAGCCAUGUCCACCCCAAGAACAAAUGGAUUUGGACGAAAAGGGAAAAAUCAAACGAACAUGCUUUAUGCUGAAAAUUUCAUCAAAAUUGAAUGUUAUUAUAGUAUUUGAAAAGAGGUCGGAUUUUUCCUUUAAGAUUUACUUACAAGAGUUGGACGAAGAGGGUGUAAAGUGUUUGUCUUAUCACAACAUUGAAAUGUACAUCUCAGAACAAAUAGUUCCAUUUUUGUAAAGUUAUUAUAUUGAAUAUGGACUGUUAUUAGAAAUGAAAAUUAUAUAUAAUUAUGUAAAUUGCUUGGGAUAAAGUAUACUUCCUUUUUUAUGAAAUUGUAUUACGGAAUGGUGUUAUAACUUAGUAAAGAGGAAGGAUCUUGUGAAAGUGAUUAUGUUACGCGGGAAGAAAACCCGCUUGGUCAGUAGAGAUCGAUUGUUUUGAGGUCAUUGGUCAAGCUACUCAGUGAGGAGAGCAAUCAGUCAGAGAGUCCUGUAGGAUCCAGAUAAUUUAGAUCUCAAUCCUGUCGAGGUAUGUUGAUUGAUAUGUGCUAUUUUAUAAGAGAAGGAUAUCUUUUGGAAUAUAUUAUCUCUAAAUCAUGAACUAAAAUUAGAGCAUUGAAUCGUAAUUUUUCUGUUAGGUCAAGGAUACCUACUACGUGGCAUGUUACGUAACAAUGAAUGUGUGUAUAUAUGUAUCGGGUACCUCGAUUCAAGAUGGUAUCACUCUUUCCUUUUUGUCUUGGAAUUGCCGAAUUGGAGGACUAUAUUUAUGUAGUUGUAUUUCUUUAACGCUCGAUAAAUUAUUUACCUGGUGUAUUUAAAUAGACGAUGAGUAGAAUUUAUAAAUGUGAAUAAUUCGUAAACCGGGAGAUUUGGUAAAUGGUAGCCUCAAGGUCAGGCAAUGUCAAAUCAUUUCGUACUGAUGGUUUCGAUUAAUUAUCGAUUUAACUUUAAUCGAUUAAUAUUUUCGCCAGUUCAGUUAUAUAUUUUAGAUUUUAAAAUGAUACGUGAUCAAUUGAUAUUAUACAAUCAUAUAUAUUAAGGAUUGGUGUAUCGUUUAUUUAUUUAGGAGUUCGAAUGUUCAUUGUUGAUGAAACUAGCUGGAUUGUGAUGAUUUCUGGGUUUUCUACGAAGAUUGCAGUGUUGGGUACCGGAAUCUGACCCUAGAAAGUGAUUGUUUUGGUCCUUGGUAUGGUUUUUAACCUGUAUCUGCCCUAGUCGGAGGUUUUUUCUUUUCCAAUUUGUUAUAUACUGAACAACUGUUGUGCUCAAGUGGGAAAUUAAAUUCCGCUCACAACCUACAACUCUCGUCGUAUCGUGUCUUGUGUUCUGGAGUGUCCUGACAACUUCCCCCAAAAAUCCAGAAUACUACAUUAUGUCAGUUCAAAGUUUUUCUGUAUUCAGCAAAACAGUUAUAUACACAUCAUGCUUUGUAUGCAAUUUAGAAAGUGAUGACAUCAAGUCACUAUUUCUUUUGUAUUUUUAUUAAAUAAAAUAUGAAAUAUUUCAUUUUUUUCCUCCUUAGGAAACAAACCAAGUUUGAUUCUAUUCUCACAUUCUUCAUAAACCAUUGAUAAAACCUGUUGUGAAGAAAUUAAGUGUAUCUGUGUUAUCAUAUUUUCAAAAACAUGAAAUUUGGUAUGAUUUAUGUAAUAAAAUGCAAAAGAAGUAGUGAGUAUGUGACAUCAUCAACUCAUUGAUUUGGACAUGACCACGAUUUGGUUAUAACUGUUUUGUAUAAGAUAACCAAUAUUUUAAAAUUACAUUACUUUCUUAUUUUCCAUGCAAUUUGUAUUAAGUGUGUGACAUAAUGUUUCCUAGAUUGUCCUCUUUUGGUUCAAAUCAAUUUUUGUUGGGGGUGGACUACUCCUUUAAGGAAAGUGUCUUAAAUUGGUUACUUAUGUUACAUUUUUGUAUUGUUUUAUAUUAUCCAUUUACUACUGUUUUAUUUGUCACUGCACUUGAGUGUUUCGUGAUUACCAAUGUAUUCAGAUAAUUGGAAAUUCAGUUUUGCUGUUGUGAUUCUUUUGUGAAAUGGUGAUUGAAUGUAAAAAAGAAAAUUUGCAUCCAUUUUAGAUUUCAGUUCAUAUGUCUGCCUUUUGGAGAAACAGUUACCUGACUAGAUUUCAAAGUGUGAAGAUUGAAGGUCUAUAGUGUUUUUUUGUUCAUGGAAAUAGAAAGUAAGAAAUAUUUUUCUGGUCGGGCAGUGGCGGAGGCAUACAUUUUGACCGUGCACAGUCGAGAUUUAUCUAGUUUUCAAUGAGAAUUGUGGCAACAUCAUUUUAAUCACCAAAAAACAUAGAUUGUUUUGACUGAGUAAAAGUAGAAAUAAUGACACAUUUAUGAAUUUUGGGAGAAAAGUUUAUUUGAUUUGUUUUGAUCAUUACAGCAUUUUAAAGCCUGACAGUCAUUUACAUAAUAUUGCAUAACUUGAGAACCACAUAUAUGAAUUUGAUAUGGAACAAUGUGCAAAGCUUGUAUGUAAAUUGUGUUGAACCACUGUGUUGAUGAGUUCUCAACAUUGUCAGUUUUCACAGUUGAUUUAACACCACAAAAAAUUAAGCCAGUUAUAUUUAAAGAGAUCUUCAUUACCAAUUGACCUGCGUGAAUGGUAAAACAUCCCACUAUUCAUAAAGGAAAGUUAUUAUUUUAGUUUCUCUUUAUACAUCAGUAACUGACAUUGUCUAAAGCAAGCUAAAGAAUUUUUAUUCCUCUGCUCAUCAAAAGUGGUUGCCGGUGGCAUUAUGUUUUGGAUUAUCCGUCUGUUCGUCCAUCCGUUCAUCUGUCUGUUCAUUCCAUUUUUGUUCUCGCAGUAACUCAAAAACCAUUUCACAGAUCAACUUCAACUUGGACCAUAUAUGCAUUAGGUGCUCAAAAUGAUUUCACACAUGCGUAUGCAUGUAUGUAUCGUUAGAAAAAAAUUAAUAUUCAUAUUCUGUUGGUACAUGAUCUCAUUAUUUAGGGUUAACAGAUCAAGGUCAAGGUCAGAAAGUUCAAGCAAGUACAUAAUAAAUACUCUGUUCUUGCUACAACUCAAAAACAGUUUCAUGGAUUCACUUGAAACUUGAAUCCUGUAUGGAAUGGCGGUGAAGAAGAUCUCAUCAGUUUAAAGGUCAUGAGGUCAGAGGUCAAGUUCACAAAAUUAAAAAAAAAUAGAUAAAAAUACUCAUUUUUACUUUUACAAUUUUGUAGAUCAUCUUGUAACUUUGAUUGUGUAUGCAUCUGUAAUGAAUUUUUGCUUUUCGCUUAAUGGACUUUUUGCAAAAAAUAUCAAACAACAAAAAUGGUCUACUCCACCAGGCCCCCCCCCCCCUCUUCCCAGUGAAUUGUUAAACUAAGCAUCACUUUUCUGUUUAGAUGCAGUAUUUUGCAAUAAUACAUUAUAUGAAUGAAACUUUAUGUAUGUAGUCUGUGUAUGUAUUUAGGAUCCCUAUGAUAUUGGAAUAACAAUGUAAGCCCAAGCCUUCAGGGCUUUGGGUAACAGUUAAAAUGCUGUGAACCUUUUAAUUUGAUUAUUAUGAAUUAUUUGUUGAUCAUUGUUAUUGUAUUUAUAUUUUCUUUUUUAUGUUCAGAAAUCUGUCAUUAUCUUUUAUGGCUUUUGAUUGUACAAAUAAAGAUAGAAAAUAAAAAUACUAAAGAGUA